rnacentral:rRNA from 1 species
GACAGAGGUCCCGAGCGUUAGGCGGAAUCACUGGGCUUAAAGCGUGUGUAGGCGGAUCGUUAAGUACCUUGUGAAAUCCCACGGCUUAACCGUGGAACUGCUUGGUAUACUGGCGGUCUUGAGCCACUUAGGGCUACCGGAACAAAUGGUGGAGCGGUGAAAUGCGUAGAUAUCAUUUGGAACGCCAAUGGUGAAAACAGGUAGCUGGGAGUGUGCUGACGCUGAGACACGAAAGCCAGGGGAGCAAACGGG